GGAUCCAGCCAUUUUUAAAAGGGGGGAGGGGUUCCAGAACUCAAUAAUUUGAAAACUUGGGGGAUCCCACACAUUCAAUUAGCUAUAUUCGGGAAAAUCAUUUAAUGUCUAAGCAGUGUCAAAUUGUCCUUGCAGCAACUUAAAUAAACAUUGUUUUCAGGUCCUUCCGGUGAAAUAUAAAUGCACGACAUACAAAUCAUGUAACCUCAAAUCAAGAACAAAUUCCCUUAUGUAA
rnacentral:lncRNA from 1 species